UACAGAGGUCUCAACCGUUGUUCGGAUUCAUUGGGCGUAAAGGGCGCGUAGGCGGCCUGGCAAGUGGAAGGUGAAAUCCCUCGGCUUAACCGAGGAACUGCCCUCCAAACUGCUUGGCUUGAGUCCGGGAGAGGUGAGUGGAAUUCCCAGUGUAGCGGUGAAAUGCGUAGAUAUUGGGAGGAACACCAGUGGCGAAGGCGGCUCACUGGACCGGAACUGACGCUGAGGCGCGAAAGCGUGGGGAGCAAACGGG
rnacentral:rRNA from 1 species